AAAGAUGUCGCUCCCGGAAGUGUUGGGCGCAGGGCGUGGCUGCGGCUGCGGCUGCCACGUUGGAACGGAACGUGGAGGUGGCCCUGGCCGGGGAGGAGGGGCGGCGGCGAAUGCUGGGAGAGUCCGACGAGCGCUGCACUAACGCAGGAUCCGGCUGCCGAAGGUCCUCGCCAGCAGGAUGAAGUUAAAGGAAGUAGAUCGUACAGCCAUGCAGGCAUGGAGCCCUGCCCAGAAUCACCCCAUUUACCUAGCAACAGGAACAUCUGCUCAGCAAUUGGAUGCAACAUUUAGUACGAAUGCUUCCCUUGAGAUAUUUGAAUUAGACCUCUCUGAUCCAUCCUUGGAUAUGAAAUCUUGUGCCACAUUCUCCUCUUCUCACAGAAACUACAAGGAAUACCAUCAAGAACAUGAAAUAUUUUGUGAAAAAGCAUGUACCACAAGUUGAUUUGGGGGCCUUAUAAAAUGGAUUCCAAAGGAGAUGUCUCUGGAGUUCUGAUUGCAGGUGGUGAAAAUGGAAAUAUUAUUCUCUAUGAUCCUUCUAAAAUUAUAGCUGGAGACAAGGAAGUUGUGAUUGCCCAGAAUGA
rnacentral:lncRNA from 1 species